CAGUAGCCGCGGUAAUACGAAGGGUGCAAGCGUUAAUCGGAAUUACUGGGCGUAAAGGGCUCGCAGGCGGUUUCUUAAGUCUGAUGUGAAAGCCCCCGGCUCAACCGGGGAGGGUCAUUGGAAACUAGGAAACUUGAGUGCAGAAGAGGAGAGUGGAAUUCCACGUGUAGCGGUGAAAUGCGUAGAGAUGUGGAGGAACAUCAGUGGCGAAGGCGGCCAUCUGGGACAACACUGACGCUGAGGCACGAAAGCGUGGGGAGCAAACAGGAUUAGAUACCCCCGUAGUCCCUGUCUCUUAUAC
rnacentral:rRNA from 1 species